rnacentral:rRNA from 1 species
CGGCGCGUCUUAAGCAUGCAAGUUGAACGGUAAGGGGAGAGCUUGCUCUCCUCCUAGAGUGGCGGACUGGUGAGUAACGCGUGGAUGAUCUACCUUUGAGAUGGGGAUAGCUCUUAGAAAUAGGAGGUAAUACCGAAUAACCUUAAUAUGUUAUGACAUAAUAAGAAAAGGAGCGUCAGCUCCGCUAAAGAUGAGUCUGCGUCCCAUUAGCUAGUUGGUAAGGUAAAGGCUUACCAAGGCGACGAUGGGUACCCGGCCUGAGAGGGUGAACGGGCACAUUGGGACUGAGAUACGGCCCAAACUCCUACGGGAGGCAGCAGCUGAGAAUCUUCCGCAAUGGACGAAAGUCUGACGGAGCGACACCGCGUGAACGAUGAAGGCCGGAAGGUUGUAAAGUUCUUUGCAGACAAAGAAUAAGGAUAGAAGGAAAUGACUAUCUGAUGACGGUAGUUAUGCGAAUAAGCC